UGGGGAAUAUUGCACAAUGGGCGCAAGCCUGAUGCAGCCAUGCCGCGUGUAUGAAGAAGGCCUUCGGGUUGUAAAGUACUUUCAGUCGGGAGGAAGGUGUCAAGGUUAAUAACCUUGGCAAUUGACGUUACCGACAGAAGAAGCACCGGCUAACUUCGUGCCAGCAGCCGCGGUAAUACGGAGGGUGCAAGCGUUAAUCGGAAUUACUGGGCGUAAAGCGCACGCAGGCGGUCUGUCAAGUCGGAUGUGAAAUCCCCGGGCUCAACCUGGGCACUGCAUUCGAAACUGGCAGGCUGGAGUCUUGUAGAGGGGAGUAGAAUUCCAGGUGUAGCGGUGAAAUGCGUAGAGAUCUGGAGGAAUACCGGUGGCGAAGGCGGCCCCCUGGACAUAGACUGACGCUCAGGUGCGAAAGCGUGGGGAGCAAACAGG
rnacentral:rRNA from 1 species